GAUGAAGAACGUAGCGAAAUGCGAUAAGUAGUGUGAAUUGCAGAAUUCAGUGAAUCAUCGAAUCUUUGAACGCACAUUGCGCCCCUUGGUAUCCCGAGGGGCAUGCCUGUUCGAGCGUCAUUUCACCGCUCAAGCCUGGCUUGGUGUUGGGCGACGUCCCCUUUGGGGACGCGCCUCGAAACGCUCGGCGGCGUGGCACCGGCUUUAAGCGUAGCAGAAUCUUUCGCUUUGGAAGUCGGGGCCCCGUCUGCCGGAAGACCUACUCGCAAGGUUGACCUCGGAUCAGGCAGGGAUACCCGCUGAACUUAAGCAUAUCAAUAAGCGGAGGA
rnacentral:misc_RNA from 1 species